rnacentral:rRNA from 1 species
UACGGAGGGAGCUAGCGUUAUUCGGAAUUACUGGGCGUAAAGCGCACGUAGGCGGCUUUGUAAGUAAGAGGUGAAAGCCCAGAGCUCAACUCUGGAAUUGCCUUUUAGACUGCAUCGCUUGAAUCAUGGAGAGGUGAGUGGAAUUCCGAGUGUAGAGGUGAAAUUCGUAGAUAUUCGGAAGAACACCAGUGGCGAAGGCGACUCACUGGACACAUAUUGACGCUGAGGUGCGAAAGCGUGGGGAGCAAACAGG